rnacentral:rRNA from 1 species
GACGAACCGUGCGAACGUUGUUCGGAUUCACUGGGCUUAAAGGGCGCGUAGGCAGCUUGCCAAGUCAGGGGUGAAAUCUUUCGGCUCAACCGGAAAACAGCUUCUGAUACUGGCCGUCUCGAGGGAGGUAGGGGCAUGCGGAACUUCCGGUGGAGCGGUGAAAUGCGUUGAUAUCGGAAGGAACGCCGGUGGCGAAAGCGGUCUGCUGGACCUCUACUGACGCUGAGGCGCGAAAGCCAGGGGAGCGAACGGG